GAUUCCAUUUAUCUAGCUAACUGUGACAUCACCACCAACUGGAGCUUUCCAUGCUGAAACUCAGGCAUUGCUACUAAUUUCCUGACACCUUACCUUUCUCUCCUGAAACCAGGUCACUCUGCUGUUGUCUCUGAUCUUCAACUGGGAAAGUUUGAUUGUUUGACCCGACCAAAUAAGACUGCAGUGAAUAAGCAGAGUUCUCCUAUGGAGCUACUGACAAGAUCAGAUGAAGCUCAAAAUAAUCUGUAGAAUUUUGGAUGAAGCCUAAAGGUCAAGACAUAUGGAGUUCCUCUACUCAAAACAUCUACUAUUGAAGAAGAGGAUGGAUGUGAUCUGUUACUUCACAUGCUAAAUGAGUGCCCAGAAAAGACUGGAUGAAGGAUGGUCUGAAAUGGAACAUCAAAUGCCAUGUAUUCUACAGAGCUUAUUCCUGUUGCAUGUCUUGCCAUCUAGUCUAUGGCAGCCUUGAAGUCUGUGGCAUCUAGAAGUGUAGUUUGUGAAACAGCCUACAGCCCAGAAGUCCAUGAAAGUGAUCCAUAAAAAAAACCAAAACCAAAACACGUGGAAUCUUGAGAUUACCAAAUCUUUAUUUAUUCUGUAAUACAUUUAUUGUGUUUUUAUACAUUGGGAAAAUUAAUAUGAGUAAAUUGAACAUUGCUCAUUUUUCAGAUAAAUUACAUGGUCCAAGGAAUUUUGUCUGAGUAUUAAAAAAGCAGUAGUAGACUUCUGUUUAAUUAACAUCAGGAACAUUUUAGUCUUUUCUCUGAUUUUUCUUUCCUGUAAAGGUAUUUGAAACAUCCAAGUGCCAGAGAAAUGCAACCAAUAUUUCAGGUCCCAAAGUUUUUAAAUCAAUUUCCUGGCUUUGCAGUUCUGACUUCAUAUAGGUGUAAUUGUGCAUGUAUAUGUAUGUGUGCCAGUUCAUGCAGACUAGAGACAGUACAUUUCAGAAAUAGAGGUUAUUUAUCCUUCUCUCACCAAUAGCUGGGAACAAUUUGUAUUUACUUAACUUACUCCAUUAUUGUAGCAUUACUGUCAUCAUUGUUAUGAGAAUGCAUGCAGGUGCUUACUGGAAGGGUGGCAGAAAGGAGGGGACAGAGGUGGUAGAAGAAUUAGACUAAGGAAAUUUGAAAGCCAAUGGAAAGUUUGGAGUUUUGCAGUUACUCCCUGCCAUCCACUCAUCACAUGUGCCAUGACAUGGGCUUCCUUAGCCCUUCUGAUGGUUUUCCAGAAGCAUUUGGAGCAAGGGACUGAUGAUUUGUCUAAAUUUCUGAAAAGGUCAAGAUGCAGCCUGUAGAACAGAUGAUGUCAGCAGCCUCUAGCCUGUUUUAAAGAUGAAUAUAAGAAGAAAAAAAGUAUCUUCAGGAAUUUAAGAAUGUGCCAUGUCACUUUGAUGACAUCAGGACUCUACUUCUGCAGAUUCAGCAGCAGUGAGACCAUCCUUGUGAGGGCUUCUUCUUCUAUCAGGAAUUUUUCUUUCCCACUAACAGCUCUGAGCAAGUAUUUAAACAUUUUUCCCAUCACUAUGAAGAUAACUCUUACCUACUGCACUGGGACUCUGCAGGACUUAAUUAGAUAAUAUUUCCAAAAGAUUUUGAAAAUGCUGUAGCAUCACAGAAAUGUAGUGGUUUGAUCUUCAGUUCCUGAAUGUUACCAGAUUAAGGAAGGGGUGAUAUCUGGCAUGAGCAGUGGGAUGAAUGAUGUUCUACUUCUGACUUGGAUAUCAGUAUGUCAUAACGCACAAGGCUCCUCUGUGGAUGGUACCAGUUUGCUCCUGAUGCCACACAGAUGUGUAGCCUGUAAUUCUAUAUAGUAAUGACAUCCUUUGUGCAUUUUGCAUUACACACUUGAUGCUUUUUCUUGUGCUGAUUUCAUGUUGCUGUAAUUCCAUCAAUUUCAGCAACACCUCUUUUAUAGCAAAAAAUGUAGAGUCUGUGCAGUCUCUGUAUAUGGUUUGAAUUCAGCCUAAAGGGAUUAUUUUUUGCCUUUUUAAGAGCAAGUCUUUUCUAUUUUCAUUUAUCCUGUUCAGGGUUACCAUGCACAGGUUGUUUGAUUGUUACUCUUAUUAUGGUGGAUAACAAUUGCUAUUAUUAGUGUUUCUUGCUGGGGUAUCUAGGAGAAAUGCAGAUGGAAAAGCCAUGCUCUGGAAGACUGAAAUGACUGGAUUAGUUGUGCUUUUGAAGCAUGCUUUCCGUUUUCCAUAGAAUCAGAUUUUUCUUCUAUUUUUAUUCUGCUUUCACAGACAUACACACACUUUGACCAGUCCCUUAAAACUUUAACAGCACUUACUAAACCCAUGAGUCUGCUUUGUGCUUUACAUCAGAUGAGAAGUGUUGAAGCUCUGGCAAUCUUCACAAAUUCCACACCAUGUUUGUCCUUGCUCUUGCAGUCUGUGUGACAACUCUGGCAAUGGCUCCAAAAGCCAUCAAAAUCACUCUUUAACUUGGAUUAUUGAAACUAUCAAAGAUCUCUGCAAAUAUAGCUUGGAGCCCUUUCUUCUGCAAAACCAGACAUUUUAAAAAGGCUGAAAUAGCUGCCAUUUGCUAUAAUCUGGAUGGAGAGGAAAAUUAUUAGAAAGCUCCAAUCUGAUGGUGCAUGCACUCAGCCAUCUGCUACAGGGACAGGGAACUUUGCAGGCAAGAAAGGAGGAUAUUUUCCACUUUCCUUUAGAUUCCUGGCUUGCCAUAGUGACAGUGCACAAUGUGUGGAUCCUGCUGUAGCCUUUCUUACUGAGCUUUUUCUCAGAAAAGUGUGGGGGUUUUGUGUUACAAGAAACAGCUUUAUGGUAUAUUCCCUGAAUUCACUAAUGAUCUGCAAGGAUUCAAAGUCAUGAAGAAAAAACUCCCUGCUUUUGCAGGUGCAGAGCAGCAUUUCCAAUUCUGAGAAGAUCAGCUUAGUUAAUAGUAGAAUUUAGGUCAACUAUCUGUUUCUUCAAGUGGCCUGGAAUGUACUUAUGUUUUAAUACUCUGUAAGUGGAUUCAGAACAGAAUAGACAGAACAUAAAAAAGUGACCAUCAAACUGAUGUAAGAGGUAUUCUAACAUUCACCAUUUUCGAACCUCUCAGUUGUCUUACAACCAAGAAAAUCUGCACUUGUAAAAUCUACUUUCCUCUGGUUAUGAGCAUCAUCCUUGCUCAGUGCCUUAGACUUUGAAAUGCUCAUGGUUUCUUUCUACAACCCUUUAUUAUAACUUUUUCUGUUGUAGUUCUCAUGCUGUUGUUGUGCUUUUAUUCCCACCAUGCAACACCUGCAAAUCCUCCUGUUCAAGACAUGAUUGAACAGGGCUCUGGGCAACCGGUCUAGUGGAGGGUGUUCCUGGCCAUGGUGGGAGGGUUGGAACUAAGUGAUAUUUAAGACCCUUUUUAUUCCAAACCAUUCUAAGAGAUUUAAUGAUUGUUGUGCCAGAUUUCUCAUGUGAAGUAAUUGCUACCUGUGUGGAAUUGGCUCUUUUAUAGCCACAUUCUCAUAGUCCUUAAUUUGAAGCUUUUCAUUUACCUCAGAGGAAAAACAAUACUUAUUAAAUAACAGUGUAGAUAAUAAUAACAAAUAAUCAAUAAUUAUUCCUAAAUGAUAUGCAUGCACAGAGAUUGACAACAGAUGUCUAUGCAACACCUGCAGCUGAUCAAAAUGUUCACCAGUCAGUGGGAACAGUCAGAAGGAGUUCUAAUAGAAAGUAUCAGAACUAUGGAAAGGGCCUGGUGAAAGACCAUCAUCAACCUUUUUAGUUCUUGGUAUCAACCUUGAAGUCAAUGGAGGCAACUAGGCAAAGACCCCACAAAUGAAAAUUUGUGCUUAUAAGUCUACCUCAACAUUCUUUUUGUGACACUAUUCCAAUACAUGCCAAGACAGCAUUCAAGCCCAGGACGUUUCAGUGGUCAGUGUGAUAACUCUUUUGUUCAGUAAGUCUGACACCAUUAAGCCUCAGAUAGCCCUAAUCCUUUAAAACAGGAAGGAGGCUCAGCCCUGUAACUGAGCUCAUUGCUUUAGCACCCACUGGUGCAAAAAGGGAACCACUUUGGUAAAAGGGUAAAAAUUCAGUGGUAGUACUUGACGAUGGUCUGUAGGAUGUGAUUCCUCUUAAUGUUAGAGAAGAAGGAAUAAUCCAAGGGAGAGGACAUUAUAGAGCUGGUAAAUUGCAUAGUCCAACCAAAUGAAUUCAGAAUGUAUUUUCCUUACCUAGAGAAAAAACACCUUCCAGGUAGGUCUCUGGCACUGAUAAACAAUUCAACAUGGUUGAUAAAUUUAAUCAAGGAGGAUUUGUCCUUCUUGAUAGUAGUUUUCAGAGUGUCAGGUGUAUAGAUAGAUUUAGGACAAAAGGUGGACCCAUCAAAAAUCAGCUGGAAGGCUUGCACAGGUAGCCCAAGGCAUACAGUAAAAUACUUGAAGUUCCACCAUAAUUUAAACUUGGGAACUCUGUCCUUACAAAUUUUAGGAUUGGAUUCUACUUUUUCCCUUAAUGCUACCGUACUAGGCAGAAUGGCAUUGUGGGGUUUGUGUUGAUCAGGUCUAAUGAAAAGCUUACCAGCCUUCUUCAUGAUGAAGAACUGUCUGGCUAUAGGAAAGUACGGACACCCAAAUGUCCUCAGCUGUUGAGACAAGAGGGUAGCUGGUUUUGGCUCUGUGAGCCCUGGCACUGUACCCUGCCUACGUGUGACUAAUGGAAUCAGCAUAGCUUCUGCUUCUAUUUCCAUGUUGCCACAUUCAUUAUUUUUUGUGCUAAUAACCAACAUGCACAGUUGGAUUAUCAGUGCUAUUUUCUAAAUGGUAUUAAAUAAAGUGAUUUUCAGUAUCCUGGUAUAGAAUGUGACUGGAAUCCCUUUGUGGCUUCACCAAAAUUUCACUUUACUUCAUAUUUGAACUUCCUUUGCUAUGACUAGGAAAGUCACUAAAUUAAAUGCUGAUGAUCAGCUUCUCAUUAUUUAAGUAAAGAAAAAGGAUGAGUGUCACAUUUGGAGUUACCUUCCUUGUGUUUUGUUCACUUUAAAUGUCCCUUCUUCCCUCAAAAUAAAAAUCAAGCAGGCAGGAAAACAAGACACCCAGAUGCCAGCUGAGUAUCUCUGGGGUUUUGUUCUUCUAAUCUUCUGGUUAGCACAAUUGAAAACACAGUUCCCUACAAGUCUCAGUGAAGUGAGCUGAUGUGCUUGGCUUGGCACAAGCCUGAUACACCAUGCUAAUAACAGCUGCCUUUGCACUCCAUUGUCAUUAUUGCAGCAUCUUAUGCUUUUUAGAUAUCUUUACUUACAAAAUACUGAGUUUCAGCAAACAGUCUUCUGCAAGAAAAAAAGGGAGAUAAGACACCAAAAUACAAACUCUGAAAGUAGACUAAAUGGGAGACAGGCAACAGAUGUGUCCAAGUGUUGGAAAACUUGUUGGGUUUUUGUUUGCGUUUGAAGACAAAAUAGGAAAAUAGGCAUUUCUUGUCCUAUUUGCAAGCAACUUUCUGCUAACAGGUUUUACUUUGCAAUCAUCAGUGUUAGCUAGAGCAUAUAUUUUUGCUCAGCCUGGGGCAUUGUUAUUGAAAAUGACUCUUCUUAAUUUUAUGAAAAAUACUUUGAAAUGAUUCUGUCUGAAAAUUUUGUAAAGCAGCUGUCCUAAAAGCCUCUUUUGUGAACUUCCUCAUUAAAAUUAUUUUUUUGGAGUUGACCUCAGAGUACAGUCUAUGAGCAGUCUUCCUCUGUAGCUUGUAAAAAUAGGAUUAUCCAUUACAUUAACAUUUAAUUACCUCACAAAACUGCAUGCUUUGAA